rnacentral:rRNA from 1 species
GAUGAACGCUGGCGGCGUGCCUAAUACAUGCAAGUCGAGCGAACGGACGAGAAGCUUGCUUCUCUGAUGUUAGCGGCGGACGGGUGAGUAACACGUGGAUAACCUACCUAUAAGACUGGGAUAACUUCGGGAAACCGGAGCUAAUACCGGAUAAUAUUUUGAACCGCAUGGUUCAAAAGUGAAAGACGGUCUUGCUGUCACUUAUAGAUGGAUCCGCGCUGCAUUAGCUAGUUGGUAAGGUAACGGCUUACCAAGGCAACGAUGCAUAGCCGACCUGAGAGGGUGAUCGGCCACACUGGAACUGAGACACGGUCCAGACUCCUACGGGAGGCAGCAGUAGGGAAUCUUCCGCAAUGGGCGAAAGCCUGACGGAGCAACGCCGCGUGAGUGAUGAAGGUCUUCGGAUCGUAAAACUCUGUUAUUAGGGAAGAACAUAUGUGUAAGUAACUGUGCACAUCUUGACGGUACCUAAUCAGAAAGCCACGGCUAACUACGUGCCAGCAGCCGCGGUAAUACGUAGGUGGCAAGCGUUAUCCGGAAUUAUUGGGCGUAAAGCGCGCGUAGGCGGUUUUUUAAGUCUGAUGUGAAAGCCCACGGCUCAACCGUGGAGGGUCAUCGGAAACUGGAAAACUUGAGUGCAGAAGAGGAAAGUGGAAUUCCAUGUGUAGCGGUGAAAUGCGCAGAGAUAUGGAGGAACACCAGUGGCGAAGGCGACUUUCUGGUCUGUAACUGACGCUGAUGUGCGAAAGCGUGGGGAUCAAACAGG